rnacentral:rRNA from 1 species
CCUACGUGCGGCCGCAGUGAGGAAUAUUGGUCAAUGGGCGGGAGUCUGAACCAGCCAAGUCGCGUGAAGGAAGACGGUACUUAGUAUUGUCAACUUCUUUUGUCAGGGAACAAAGGCGGAUACGCGUCUCCGGAUGAGUGUCCCGUCAGAAAAAGCAUCGGCUAACUCCGUGCCAGCCGCCGCUGUAAUACGGGGGAUUCAAGCGUUAUCCGGAUUUAUUGGGUUUCAAGGGUGCGCAGGCGGUCGAUUAAGUCAGCGGUAAAAUCACGGGGCUCAACCACGGCUGGCCGUUGAUACUGGUUGUCUAGAGAGGGAGAGAAGGAGGCGGAAGGCGUGGUGUAGCGGUGAAAUGCAUAGAUAUC